GCCCUGGAUUUGGGCAUAGAAUCAGACAGACCUGGGUUUGAUAUGAUGAUUUCCAGAACCACACUACUAGUUGGAUGGCCUUAGUGAAGCAGUUAACCGCUCCAUGCCCUAGCUUUCUGGUCUGCAAAACGGAGAUAAAAAUAGGCUAGGGUCGUGGGAUUUAAAUGAGAUAAGGUGCACAUUGUUUAGCACAGUGCCUGCGCAUGGAAGGCUCUCAAAUAAAUAUUCGUGCAAUGUUUUGAGAAGUAGAAAGUGCUAGGCACGUAGGCGUUCAGGAGACAGUCACGGUACUCGUUUCCAGACAGAAGUCAUGAGGAACAAGAGGGAAGGUGCUUUCCCGUGUGCAGCGCUUGGGGAGACUCACACAGACAGAGGAUCUGGCAUGACAGGGAAAGGAGGAAAUGGCUUCUGUUAAUCUCUCCUUCAGCUUCUCCCGCCCUUCCCAUGCACUCUUCCUGUUUCCCUUUCCAGUUCUCACGGUGACUCAAGGAACAACGUGUGAAAUGAAAGACCUCAGGUGCUGUAUUGGCUCUUGACAGCUCUUCAGAAGAAAAUACCUCCUGCCUGUUCUGUUCAGUCCUGGUGCAGUGAUUCGAUUGCAGGUGGUCCUGGACAACACUUUGAAAAAUGCUGGGGCAGAAACAAGCCAGCAAGCAUAUGGGAUUCAUCUGCUGUGAGUGAUAAUUUAUCUAGUUUCUAAAAAUAGUGUUAUAGGCUGGACUGUGUCCCCUUCCUGUGCCCCGCCGCCAUGCAUAUAUGGACGCCUAGUACCUCAGAAUGUGACUGUAUUUGGAAACAGGGCCUUUGAAGAAGUAAUUAAGUUAAAAUGAGGUCAUUAGGGUGGGCAGUAAUACAGUAUAACUGGUGUCCUUAUAAGAAGAGAUUAGGACACAGAUGCACACAGAGGGAAGACCAUAUGAACACAGAGGGAGAAGACAGCCACCUGCAAGCCACAGAGAGAGCCCUUCAAAGAAACCAACCCUGCAGACAAUUUGAUCUCAGGUUUCUGGCCUCCAGAAUUGUGAGAAAAUAAAUUUCUGUUGUUUAAGUCACCCA
rnacentral:lncRNA from 1 species